GCGGGUAUAGUAUAACGGCUAUUACUCCAGUUUUCCAAACUGGUGACAGGGGUUCGAUUCCCCUUACCCGCUCCA
rnacentral:tRNA from 1 species